AGGCGGCAGACGCAGGAGCCCCAGCCAUCAAACACUCACGCAACUGUUUUCGCUGCCUCUCCGCAGGGUUUGGUAACAAAAGUCCCCCUUGCAGGCGCUGCCUCUCGGCAGGCUGCUCUGCAAUCCCACUGGAGCCCGCCUGCCUUUGAAGCAGAGGCCAAGAUUUCAUCCCCCGGCAGCGCUGCAGCUGCUGCAGCUGCUGCAGCUGCUGCACCUGCUGAGUGCUGCUGUUGUCCCCUGCAGCCGUGCUGGGGAUGGGGGACAUCCCGUCAGCUUCACUCUCCCCUGGGUCCUGGCCAGGGGCAGGGCUGCUGCCCGGUGUCUGGGCUGAUUCCCGGUGUCUGGGGCUGCUCCCCGGUGUCUGGGGCUGCUCCCGGUGUCUGGGGCUGCUCCCCUGUGUCUGGGGCUGCUCCCCGGUGUCUGGGGCUGCUCCCGGUGUCUGGGGCUGCUCCCCGGUGUCUGGGCUGCUCCCCGGGGUCUGGGGCUGCUCCCCGGUGUCUGGGGCUGCUCCCCGGUGUCUGGGCUGAUUCCCGGUGUCUGGGGCUGCUCCCGGUGUCUGGGCUGAUUCCGGUGUCUGGGGCUGCUCCCCGGUGUCUGGGGCUGCUCCCGGUGUCUGGGGCUGCUCCCCGGUGUCUGGGGCUGCUCCCAGGUGAUGUCUCCACAGCACAAAACUCUCCCGCAGCGCUCAGAGGUGCCGAGGGCCAGGACUGGGAGCACUCUGGGAUGCCAGCAAGCUUUGGGUUCUUAAAAUCAAAGCAGCAGAAUUCUCACCCCACCCAGCCCAUUCCAGUUGUGGUGCCCUCUCCUUUGAAGGAUGGAAGAGCAUGUCCUGAGUGGUGGCAGCACAGGGACAGGUUGGGGACACUGUCCCACGCUGUGGCUGUCCCUGCUGCUGUGCACAGCGGUCAGGGUACGAUGUGGCUCUGGAGGAGCGCCUGGCUCAGGGUGCAGGGAGCUAGGGGGAAUGGGGACAUGGAAAAUCCUUUAGUCCCUGGGUGGGCCUUCCAUCCUGAGAGCGCCAAGGAGAAGAGGGGCUCCCUCCCCGCCCUCUGGGGCCUGCGGGGCCGCCCUUUCUCCUUCCCACUCCAAAGCAGCUCUGCGUAUUUGGAAGAAAAUCAAGCCUGGAAGCGGAUCAGCCUGUCACCAUUCCAGCGGCUCUCCGGCACGGCGGCAGCGCUGCCAGCGCGGCUUCCAUGGGCACAGGGAGCACCCACGGGAGGGGAAUGUGGGAAUUCUGCUCUCCCAGACCAGACCGGGAGGGGAAUUCGGGAAUUCGGGAAUUCUCCUCUCCCAGACCAGAGCAGAAGGGGAACUCUGCUCUCCCGGGCCUGGCACAGGGCUCUGGACACGGCCACCGCCACCACCCAACAAGUUGCCCUCAAACAUCCCAGGCCAGGCACAGCCUCCGGGUGA
rnacentral:lncRNA from 1 species